CCGUAGCCCAAGAGAUCGGGAUAACGCCUGGAAACAGAUGCUAAUACCGGAUAACAACAGAUGAUGCCUAUCAACUGUUUAAAAGAUGGUUCUGCUAUCACUCUUGGAUGGACCUGCGGUGCAUUAGCUAGUUGGUAGGGUAACGGCCUACCAAGGCGAUGAUGCAUAGCCGAGUUGAGAGACUGAUCGGCCACAUUGGGACUGAGACACGGCCCAAACUCCUACGGGAGGCAGCAGUC
rnacentral:rRNA from 1 species